CCUACGGGUGGCUGCAGUAGGGAAUAUUGCACAAUGGGCGAAACCCUGAUGCAGCGACGCCGCGUGAGUGAGGAAGUAUUUCGGUAUGUAAAGCUCUAUCAGUAGGGAAGAAAAUGACGGUACGUGACUAGGCAGCCCUGGCUAAUUACGUGCCAGCAGCCGCGGUAAUACGUCGGGGCAAAGCGUUAUCCGGAUGUACUGGGUGUAAAGGGAGCGUAGGCGGUUUAUCAAGACAGAAGUGAAAGCCCAGGGCUCAACCUUGGGACUGCAUUUGAAACUGAGGAGCUAGAGUGCAGGAGAGGAAAGUGGAAGUCCUGGUGUAGCGGUGAAAUGCGUAGAGAUUAGGAGGAACACCAGUGGCGAAGGCGGCUUACUGGACUGUAACUGACGUUGAGGCUCGAAAGCGUGGGGAGCAAACAGGAUUAGAUACCCGGGUAGUC
rnacentral:rRNA from 1 species